CCCGCCACUGUGCCUGCCCAUGCUGUUGGCUGGUGCAAUCCAGUGGUGAGCCGAGAAGUCCCGGCUUAGGAAACAGGGUGGUUCUCUCCACGCGGAUGACUCUGUGCUGAAAGCACAGGAACAGCC